UGCCCAUCUGGGCAGAGGGAUCUUCCUCACAUCGUCACUGGUGCUGACUGGGUGUCCUCAAUUAGGCUGAGCUCUUCUAUGUUUAGCUGCUUUGCUCACUUUUAAAACUGUGAAAAGGAUGGGAAGAAAUAUGUGAAAUGUUUUGAGAAGCAUUGAAUGAGCAUGGAAGAAAUGUCUGAGAAUCUCUAACAAGGAAAAUAGAAUCAAACUCAAAUCUUA